rnacentral:rRNA from 1 species
AUGUUGAGGGAUGAAAAGGAGGACACAUUCAAGUGGGUUUUCCGUGAAUUCAUUAGGAUGGUUGGCGGCAAACACCCACAAACAAUUUUAACAGACCAGGCGCGAUCGAUGGAGUUGGCAAUAGAAGCCGAAAUGCCCAACACAACCCACAGGUGGUGUAAAUGGCAUGUGCUGAAGAAAGCGAAGGAAUCUAUGGCGCCUUUGUGGAGCAAGAAGUCUGAUUUCAAGAGUGAAUUCCACAAGCUGGUGCAUCACAUGGUCACAGAACAAGAGUUUGAAGAUGGAUGGUCUGCAAUGCUUGAUAAAUAUUCACUUAGGAAGCAUCCGUAUCUGACUCAAAUAUAUGAGGUGCGGCAUAAAUGGGCAAAGCCGUAUUUCAGAGGUGUUUUUUGCGCGAAAAUGACCAGUACUCAACGUAGUGAAAGUGCCAAUCACAUGCUUAAGAGUUAUGUCCCGCCAGGGUGCCCAAUCCAUUUGUUCAUUAAACAAUACGAGAAGCUUCAGUUCGAUAGGGACUCGGAGGAGAGUUUCCAGGAGAAACGGACUGCUCUGAGUGGUGUUCUGUUGAAAGUAAAUCUCCCAAUUGAGAGGCAUGCUAGCAGGAUUUACACCAGGGCAAUGUUUGAGCAAUUUGGCGAUGCUCUGUACAAGGCAGGGGCUUAUGAACUGGAUGUUGCUGUACCAAAAAAGUUAUACAUUCUUACUCAUGUGGAUGCUCUCUCUCGUGAGAAAUGGAGCAAGGUCCAGUUUAAGGUUGAGGUUGAUGAUGAUCAGGCAUUUUUCAACUGUGAGUGUUGUAUUUUCGAGCACUCCGGAAUGGUGUGCUGCCAUGCACUCAAGGUUAUGAUCGAGCUCAAGUUGAGCAAGAUACCAGAAAAGCACAUAUUGAAGCGAUGGACUAGGGAUGCCCGUGAUAUCCUGCCUGAUCAUCUCGUUCGGCACCAGAAGGACAAAGGGCCACAUGGCUUUGACACUUACCAUUUGCGGCGAAAAGGGUAUCAAUCCCGACAAAAGCCAUUACCUAUUUGCGUGAACACUAUUCAGAUUGAUGGAGAAGAACUUUCACUACUAAUGGCGUGA